CCUACGGGUGGCUGCAGUGGGGAAUAUUGGGCAAUGGGGGCAACCCUGGCCCAGCAACGCCGCGUGAAGGAAGAAGGCCUUCGGGUUGUAAACUUCUUUGACAGGGGAAGAAUAUAUGACGGUACCCUGAAAACAAGCUCCGGCUAACUACGUGCCAGCAGCCGCGGUAAUACGUAGGGAGCAAGCGUUAUCCGGAAUUACUGGGUGUAAAGGGCGCGCAGGCGGGCGGACAAGUCAGGUGUGAAAUGCAGGGGCUCAACCCUUGAGGUGCACUUGAAACUGUUUUUCUUGAGUGCUGGAGAGGAAAGCGGAAUUCCUAGUGUAGCGGUGAAAUGCGUAGAUAUUAGGAGGAACACCAGUGGCGAAGGCGGCUUUCUGGACAGUAACUGACGCUGAGGCGCGAAAGCGUGGGGAGCAAACAGGAUUAGAUACCCCUGUAGUC
rnacentral:rRNA from 1 species